AAAAAGACAAACCCUAGGUUUCCGUGUCUAACUUUGACUGUCCGUCUUAUAUGAAAUUUUUUUAUAAUUCGCAUUUUCAUUGUUGUUAGAUAAUAAAACAUGAUUAAUAUUUUAGGCGUGACUUGUCUUUUUAAUUUUUUUCGUAAUUUUUUUAAAUAAGACGGACGGUCAAAUGUUGAGCACGGAGACCAGGGUUUGUCCUUUUU
rfam:Oryza sativa (indica cultivar-group) chromosome 1, whole genome shotgun sequence.